rnacentral:rRNA from 1 species
AUUGAACGCUGGCGGCAUGCUUUACACAUGCAAGUCGAACGGCAGCGCGGGCUUCGGCCUGGCGGCGAGUGGCGAACGGGUGAGUAAUACAUCGGAACGUGCCCAGUAGUGGGGGAUAGCUCGGCGAAAGCCGGAUUAAUACCGCAUACGACCUGAGGGUGAAAGCGGGGGAUCUUCGGACCUCGCGCUAUUGGAGCGGCCGAUGGCAGAUUAGCUAGUUGGUGGGGUAAAGGCCUACCAAGGCGACGAUCUGUAGCUGGUCUGAGAGGACGACCAGCCACACUGGGACUGAGACACGGCCCAGACUCCUACGGGAGGCAGCAGUGGGGAAUUUUGGACAAUGGGCGAAAGACUGAUCCAGCAAUGCCGCGUGUGUGAUGAAGGCCUUCGGGUUGUAAAGCACUUUUGGCGGGAACGAAAAGGACUGUGCCAAUACCACGGUUCGAUGACGGUACCCGCAGAAUAAGCACCGGCUAACUACGUG